rnacentral:rRNA from 1 species
UACGUAGGGACCGAGCGUUGCCCGGAAUCAUUGGGCGUAAAGAGCGUGUAGGCGGCUUGCUAAGUCUUGCGUGAAAUCUCGGGGGCUCAACCUCGAGACGUCGGUGGAAACCGUCUGGCUAGAGUCCGGAAGAGGAGAGUGGAAUUCCCGGUGUAGCGGUGAAAUGCGCAGAUAUCGGGAAGAACACCCGUGGCGAAGGCGGCUCUCUGGGACGGUACUGACGCUGAGACGCGAAAGCGUGGGGAGCGAACAGG